AACUUAAUGGAUAUUUUCAUUGGUUGGUUAUCUCAUCCAUAUCAGAUUUGACACAGGAUACACACAGUGAGAAAAUCUGAUGCAUUUAAGCAAAGUGUUGAGCUACUAAAUAACUAUAUUAAAUGCUUUAAAAGGAUUGAUUAGGUGAGCAUCUUAACAAGUCAAGCCCUGUUUGUGACAAAAGUUCAACCUGACACGAGGCAAUGGAAGGACGUAAAGAUAUCUUAUACAUUACUGCGGUGAUUUUUCUAUUGAGCAUAGACUAUUCCAGAUCAGUAGAACAGUACAGUUUGAGUUAUAAUUACUUCGAUGAGAUGGCCCAGACUUAUUGUGCUUCGAGGAAGUCCUGGUUGGGUGUUUGCAAUCAGGAGAAAUUGUGCUAAUGCGCCGACAUGUCAGAUUAUGUGUGCAAAUGCUAAAAUCUCCAUUCUGAGAUCUAUCUCUUAUCAAAGAAAAAGCGUGAAAUGUUAUGAUGCAUUCGCCAUAAGAAAAAAUCAUGCCCUACUAAAAGCCAACCCUGGAGUAGACCAACCUGAUUCUGGAAAAAUUAAUCUUGCUUCAUAUGGAUACGGCUCUGGAGGAUGCACAUGGAGAGCUAAUCACUGCGGACCGAACUAUUGUUGCUGCAAAGCUUUUUAAUAAAAACAACAGACAUAUA